AAGCCUCCCACCCGAUUGAGACCCUAUUUUGGCCGCUCCAAGCCUCCCACCCAAUUAAGACCCUGAGGAUGGAAAAAAUAGAGGAAAAUUGGGGAAAUACAUAGGAAAAAUCAAUGAGAAUGAAGGAAAGAUGGAAGAAAUCGAAAGAUAAGAUGUUCUUCCCACAUGGAUUGAUCAUUUUCUUUCCUUCUCUCCUCAUUUUCUUUUCAUUUCAUUUUUUUCAAAAGUGAUUUGUGGUGAAGAAGAGCACCUAAGGG
rnacentral:lncRNA from 1 species